ACCCGACCCGACCCUCGCCGCUGGGGCCGGUCACGGUCCGGCUCCGGCGUCUCCUGCCCGCUCUCGAGUCCGCGGCCCGCGUGUCCCAGCCUGGCUGUGGCGGCCGGGAGCGGGUUCGUGGUGCGGAGCCGAUGACCCGCGACGCAACGGCGGUGCCCGGCCGGGCGGGGGACAUGAAGCCGCCCUGUGCCCCUGCCCGCCCCCCCUCCCCGUUCGGCGUUAGCGGUGAGAGGUGGGAUGCUGCGUGCGGGCAGCUUGAGCCUCCACGGGAAGGCUUGAUGGCAUCAGCAUACGAAUAGUUUCGUGCCCUUCUGCAGCCAAGGACUCUGGGAUCUUUUGAAAACCUGAAUCAGCAGUACGGUACUCGCUGUAUCAGAGGCCAGUCAGUUCACAGAAUCAUAGAACAUGUCGAGUUGGAAGGGACCCAUUCAGGAUCAUCAAGUCCAACUCCCUGCUCCUCGCAGGACUACCUAAAACUAAUCCAUACGACUAAGAGCAUCAUCCGGACACUCCUUGAACUCUGGCAGGCUUGGUGCGGUGACCACUUCCCUGGGGAGCCUGUUCAGUGACCGACCACCCUCUCGGUGAAGAACCUUUACCUGGCGUCCGAUUUGAACUUCCCCUGACAUGGUUUCACGCCAUUCCCUCGUGUCCUAUCGCUGGUUGCCAGGGAGAGGAGAUCAGCACCUCCCCCUCCGCUGCCCCCCCUUGAGGGAGGUGUAGACUGCGAUGAGGUCCCCCCUCAACCGUCUCAAAAAUGAGCCAAGUGACAGCUGCCCCUGUACUUGCCACCUUGAAUUCUAGUCGAGCUUUGGCCGCACAGAUUUUCUCCCUGCAGUGGCGAACAGCAUCUUUGUAGUCCGCCCGUGUCACCCGUCCUUGCUUCCAAUGUUCAUACGCUUUCCUUUUCUGCCUGAGUUCUGGAAGAAGAUCCCUGCUCAGCCAGGCCGGCCUUCUGCCCCACUUGCUUGACUUCCGACACUUUGGAAUUGCCUGUUCCUGCGCUUUUAAGUUAAACCCCUUAGUGUGUGCCCCUAUGCAGAUUAGUACCUGAUUUUAAGUUCUGAAUUAAAGUUGUGACAUUUUACCUAUGCUUCCUUCCUUUUUGUGAUGUUCCUUUAAAUUUGUCUCUAAUUUUUGUUCUCAGUCUUACCUCUGGAUAAUGUAGUCUUUCUUGAAGUGCUCAUUUAAGGCCUUAUCGAGAAGCGUACAUGAAUACAGUUACUGUCCUCACUGUGACUGCACACAUUUGCAGAGCUGUGCCAUUGGACCAUGAGGUCUUUAAGGCAGGUGUUACGCAUGGCUUACAAGGAAAAGAGUAAUAAAGCUGUUGACCUGUA